UACGGGGGGGGCAAGCGUUGCUCGGAAUCACUGGGCGUAAAGCGCACGUAGGCGGAUCUUUAAGUCAGGGGUGAAAUCCUGGAGCUCAACUCCAGAACUGCCUUUGAUACUGGGGAUCUCGAGUCCGGGAGAGGUGAGUGGAACUGCGAGUGUAGAGGUGAAAUUCGUAGAUAUUCGCAAGAACACCAGUGGCGAAGGCGGCUCACUGGCCCGGUACUGACGCUGAGGCGCGAAAGCUAGGGGAGCAAACGGG
rnacentral:rRNA from 1 species